AGGGAGAAAGAGCAAGAAACACAAGAAGAGGAACGUUUGAUGGAAGAAAAGAAAAAGAAAAAGCAGGAAGAAAAGAAAAAGAAGGAAGGUGCUCAGAAAAAGGCUGCUGAUCAAAAAACCAAAGAUUGGUUUCUGAUACUAAAUUGGCCUCUAGAGUUGGGCAGAAAGACUCAUCGCUACAGUGCCAGAACCUACUAAGACCUGUUCAAGCCAGCCCCAACCUGCCGGUACCAGUACCAGUACUUCCACCAGCACUAUCUCAAGCAGCAACAAUGGCAAACGUGCAUCUGCCAGUGGCCAGCAGCCAGCUGCAUCCCGUUACCUGCCUCGUGAGGUGCCUCCACGCUUCCGCCAGCAAGAACAGAAGCAGCUAUUAAAGAGAGGCCAGCCAUUGCCUACGGGGACUCUAACCAGUGUGAGCCCAACCCAGGGUGCUGGGCCUGCAGGGGUAAGCCCACCUCCCCUACCUGGAGCCGGAACACAGCAUCAUCCCAGUAAGCUCCAACCAGG
rnacentral:lncRNA from 10 species